AUUGUUUCCUAUGUGAGCAUUUAAUCAGGUACAUAAAAUAACACGUCAAAUUAAAUAGAAACAAAUCCAAUUUAAUCUUAAAAUUCAAACAAGGCAUCAAUGACCAUCAGAGGGAGGAGAGAACCAGAAGUCUUUGGAGGGUUAUUCCCCCCAAUUUCAAAUGUACACUGCAGAUUCAUUAGCACUACAGAUAAAUAUAACGUAUAUAACCCUAAAUAAAACUCUAGGUUGGGAAGGAGAAAAAAAAAGGGGGGG